GUCAUAUGCUUGUCUCAAAGAUUAAGCCAUGCAUGUCUCAGUACAAGCCAAAUUAAGGUGAAACCGCGAAAGGCUCAUUAAAUCAGUUAUGGUUCCUUAGAUCGUACCCACAUUUACUUGGAUAACUGUGGUAAUUCUAGAGCUAAUACAUGCAAACAGAGCUCCGACCGGAGACGGGAGGAGUGCUUUUAUUAGAUCAAAACCAAUCGGUGGCGGGUUCGCUCGUCAUCGUACAACUUGGUGAUUCUGAAUAACUUUACGCUGAUCGCACGGUCAUCGCGCCGGCGACGCAUCUUUCAAAUGUCUGCCUUAUCAACUGUCGAUGGUAGGUUCUGCGCCUACCAUGGUUGUAACGGGUAACGGGGAAUCAGGGUUCGAUUCCGGAGAGGGAGCCUGAGAAACGGCUACCACAUCCAAGGAAGGCAGCAGGCGCGCAAAUUACCCACUCCCGGCACGGGGAGGUAGUGACGAAAAAUAACGAUACGGGACUCAUCCGAGGCCCCGUAAUCGGAAUGAGUACACUCUAAACCCUUUAACGAGGAUCAAUUGGAGGGCAAGUCUGGUGCCAGCAGCCGCGGUAAUUCCAGCUCCAAUAGCGUAUAUUAAAGUUGUUGCGGUUAAAAAGCUCGUAGUCGAAUUUGUGUCUCGCGCCGCCGGUUCAUCGUUCGCGGUGUUAACUGGCGAGUCGCGAGACGUCCUGCCGGUGGGCUUAGCUCGCGAGGGCGGCCCAACUCAAUCCUGCCGCGGUGCUCUUCGUUGAGUGUCGAGGUGGGCCGGCACGUUUACUUUGAACAAAUUAGAGUGCUUAAAGCAGGCUAAAACUUCGCCUGAAUACUGUGUGCAUGGAAUAAUGGAAUAGGACCUCGGUUCUAUUUUGUUGGUUUUCGGAACCCCGAGGUAAUGAUUAAUAGGAACGGAUGGGGGCAUUCGUAUUGCGACGUUAGAGGUGAAAUUCUUGGAUCGUCGC
rnacentral:rRNA from 1 species